UACGUAGGGUGCGAGCGUUGUCCGGAAUUAUUGGGCGUAAAGGGCUCGUAGGCGGUUUGUCGCGUCGGGAGUGAAAACCCAGGGCUUAACCCUGGGCUGGCUUCCGAUACGGGCAGACUAGAGGUAUGCAGGGGAGAACGGAAUUCCUGGUGUAGCGGUGAAAUGCGCAGAUAUCAGGAGGAACACCGAUGGCGAAGGCAGAUCUCUGGGCCGUAACUGACGCUGAGGAGCGAAAGCGUGGGGAGCGAACAGG
rnacentral:rRNA from 1 species